GUGGUAGUGGUGAAGGACCCUCGCAUGCUUCCCACCACCACCACAAGCAAAAGUGAAUGAGCCCUAAAGCGUUGCCUGAGGGAGGGAGGGAGGAGGAGGUGUCUGAGGGCGGCACUGCAGGCGGGGUGAGGGCGGGGGCGGGGCUGCCAGUCUAUCGCCUUGCCCUCCGAGUGUUACCCAGAAGCCUCAGCGCCGCGGCAGGGAGGCAGGCGGGGCUUUAAGGAUAAGGAAAGGCGACGAAACACUACGGCACAAGUUAUCGUUCAGCAGCAGGGAGGGAGAGGAGAGGAGAGAGAGGGAGGGUCAGAGGGAAGUGCCUUGAUCCUUAGUUCAAGUCAUAGUUGGUCUGCGGAGUGCCAGGACCAACAGACACCAGCGCCUCUUGCUCGUCCUCCACCACCUCCUUUACUUGUGUUGAUAUAGCUUGUGUCGUCCACCACCUGCUCCUCAUCCACCUGUAGCGAGUUUACUCCUCCACCUCCUCCACCAUCUCCACCUCCUCCACCUUCUGCUAUACAUCGUCCACCUCGUCCUUCAAAAUGGAGCAUCACGUGGAUCCUACACCGAUUAUCUUCCACUAUAUUCCCAACGUUGGACUUGAGGUAAGGCGAGUGGAAGCGAUUUGUUGUGCCGAUUCUAAAUUACAGCACGGAGGUAAAGUUGGAGUUUUUCAGGAGCCACUGCUACUCUCUCUACUGCAACUCGCUGUGAUCGCGGUAUAGGGCAGCCUCCAUGAACCGUCUUAGGGUCUUUCAUAACGACAUCCUCAAGCGGUUUCUGGGGGUUCCUAGAUGGACUAGCUCAUCCCUGGCCUUCACCGGGCACGGGAUGAACUGUCUGGCUGUGCUGCAUCGCUACGCCGCGUGCAGUAUGAGGAGUAGAGUGGAACAAUCUGGGAACUUCAUCAUCACCUCCGUCAGACAGAGCUCGGUCUGUGUAUGUGGAUCUAUGCGGCGGGAGUUGCUGGGCCUUCUGUACGUGUAGAUUGUGCAUAAGUGUUCCUUGCACACGGAUAUAUAAUUAAAGGCCGUCAUCUAUUUAAGUCUAUAUGUGUUUGUGUUAGUGGGUAAUAAUAAUGUUAAGUCUUCCCUUGUGCGCUUACAUUCAAUACGCCCAAGAAUAUAUAUAUUUUUUUUAAAUUUUGACAGCUUAUUUUCAUCCAUGUACACUUGUUUUACCUGUGAUCUCAAUGACAACCACAGUUAUUUAUUCUUUAUUCCUCUUUUAUAUGUCAUAGUGGCCAGACAUCACGCAGCUUUAUCUUAUUUAUUUCGUUAUGACUCUUAUUGCAGCGAUAUUAAUGACAAGUAAAAAUACCAUAAUAUGUCGAAGCUAUAUCUCU